CCCUUAGAUGUCCGGGGCCGCACGCGCGCUACACUGAAGGAAUCAGCGUGGCUUUCUCCCUGACCCGAAAGGGUUGGGAAACCCGUUGAAUCUCCUUCGUGAUAGGGAUUGGGGCUUGAAAUUGUUCCCCAUGAACGAGGAAUUCCCAGUAAGCGCGAGUCAUAAGCUCGCGUUGAUUACGUCCCUGCCCUUUGUACACACCGCCCGUCGCUACUACCGAUUGAACGGUUUAGUGAGAUCUUCGGAUUGGCCACCUUGGUGCCUUCGCGGGUCCAUGGCGUGCCGAAAAGUUGUUCAAACUUGAUCAUUUAGAGGAAGUAAAAGUCGUAACA
rnacentral:rRNA from 1 species